rnacentral:rRNA from 1 species
UACGUAGGGGGCAAGCGUUGUCCGGAUUCAUUGGGCGUAAAGAGCUCGUAGGCGGCUUGGCAGGUCGGGUGUGAAAACUCCAGGCUCAACCUGGAGACGCCACCCGAUACUGCCAUGGCUUGAGUCCGGUAGGGGACCACGGAAUUCCUGGUGUAGCGGUGAAAUGCGCAGAUAUCAGGAGGAACACCGGUGGCGAAGGCGGUGGUCUGGGCCGGUACUGACGCUGAGGAGCGAAAGCGUGGGGAGCGAACAGG